GGGGAAUAUUGCACAAUGGAGGAAACUCUGAUGCAGCGAUGCCGCGUGAGGGAAGAAGGUUUUAGGAUUGUAAACCUCUGUCUUCAGGGACGAAAAAAGACGGUACCUGAGGAGGAAGCUCCGGCUAACUACGUGCCAGCAGCCGCGGUAAUACGUAGGGAGCGAGCGUUGUCCGGAAUUACUGGGUGUAAAGGGAGCGUAGGCGGGAUCGCAAGUCAGAUGUGAAAACUAUGGGCUUAACCCAUAAACUGCAUUUGAAACUGUGGUUCUUGAGUGAAGUAGAGGUAAGCGGAAUUCCUAGUGUAGCGGUGAAAUGCGUAGAUAUUAGGAGGAACAUCAGUGGCGAAGGCGGCUUACUGGGCUUUAACUGACGCUGAGGCUCGAAAGCGUGGGGAGCAAACAGGAUUAGAUACCCUGGUAGUCCACGCCGUAAACGAUGAUUACUAGGUGUGGGGGGAC
rnacentral:rRNA from 1 species